UUAAAAUUAAAAGCAUUUAGUGUUACGAAUUGCAAACAACUCAUCAGGAAUCGCAAGCAAUGGGAUUUGCAAUCACUCCAUUCUCUUUCAAGUUUUACAAUAGCUAUGUGCGAUGAGGUGGAAUCCUUCCCAGAGGAGAUGCUGCUCCCCUCCAGUCUUACGACUCUUGAAAUUAGGCAUCUUUCAAAUCUAAAAUCUCUGGACCACAAAGGGCUUCAACACCUCACUUCUCUUAGAGAAUUGCAGAUCUGGCAAUGCCCCAAUCUCCAGUCUUUGCCAUAAGAGGGACUUCCCUCCUCUCUUUCUUCUCUAUCUAUCUUCAGGUGUAAUUUGCUGAAAGAAAGGUGAAAAAGACCUAAUGGGGAGGAUUGGCUCAAGGUUUCUCACAUCCCAUACUUGUAUAUAUCUUGAUUAGUCCUUGAUUCAUUCAUUAUUAUAAGGCUUCGUCAGCUGUGGCCGAAGAUAGAUUGAUAGUUUGCUAGCUUCUCACGGAGAAUAUCCAUCUCUUCAUUCUUAAGUUCUCAGCCUGACUUGUUUGCCGGUUAGUGUUUCCUUUGAGUUGAACAAUGGCCUGCUUUAGAGCUGGUUUCUUGCAAGUUUGUAACUCUAUGCUUGGGGAUUUUCAUCUUGUAAAUUGUGUUCUA